ACACUUCUCUGACAGAGGAGACACCAUGAUCAAGAAGGUGGUUUUCCCAGGGUGAGGCUCAUCCAUUGCACUCUGGAUGUGCAGACCUACAAUUUCCCCAAGUGUGCAAAACACAGCUGCAUAAUUUAUGGUAGUGGGGAACUGCAUUCACACUCUCCCCUA
ensembl:snRNA U1 U1 spliceosomal RNA